rnacentral:rRNA from 1 species
GAUGAACGCUGGCGGCGUGCCUAAUACAUGCAAGUCGAGCGAAUGGAUUAAGAGCUUGCUCUUAUGAAGUUAGCGGCGGACGGGUGAGUAACACGUGGGUAACCUGCCCAUAAGACUGGGAUAACUCCGGGAAACCGGGGCUAAUACCGGAUAACAUUUUGAACCGCAUGGUUCGAAAUUGAAAGGCGGCUUCGGCUGUCACUUAUGGAUGGACCCGCGUCGCAUUAGCUAGUUGGUGAGGUAACGGAUCACCAAGGCAACGAUGCGUAGCCGACCGGAGAGGGGGAUCGGCCACACUGGGACUGAGCGACGGCCCAGACUCCUACGGGAGGCAGCAGUAGGGAAUCUUCCGCAAUGGACGAAAGUCUGACGGAGCAACGCCGCGUGAGUGAUGAAGGCUUUCGGGUCGUAAAACUCUGUUGUUAGGGAAGAACAAGUGCUAGUUGAAUAAGCUGGCACCUUGACGGUACCUAACCAGAAAGCCACGGCUAACUACGUGCCAGCCGCCGCCGUAA